GACGAACGCUGGCGGCGUGCUAACACCUGCAAGUCGCACGGAAAGGCCCUGCUUGCCGGGUACUCGAGUGGCGAACGGGUGGGUAACACGUGGGUGAUCUGCCCUGCACUUCGGGAUAAGCCUGGGAAACUGGGUCUAAUACCGGAUAGGAGCCAUUUUUAGUGUGAUGGGUGGAAAGUUUUUUCGGUGUAGGAUGAGUUCGCGGCCUAUCAGCUUGUUGGUGGGGUAAUGGCCUACCAAGGCGGCGACGGGUAGCCGGCCUGAGAGGGUGGACGGCCACAUUGGGACUGAGAUACGGCCCAGACUCCUACGGGAGGCAGCAGUGGGGAAUAUUGCACAAUGGGCGCAAGCCUGAUGCAGCGACGCCGCGUGGGGGAUGACGGCCUUCGGGUUGUAAACUCCGUUCGCUAGGGACGAAGCUUUUUGUGACGGUACCUAGAGAAGAAGCACCGGCUAACUACGUG
rnacentral:rRNA from 1 species